CCCAAUACGUUUCGUCGUUCCUUCCUCGUCGCACUACAACCCCCUUCGUCGUCGCACUUCGUCGCGCGUUGUCGCAGCCGAAUGGGCCAAGCCCAGUAAAUCCAUCGCACACACUACAUCGACUACGUCACGAACCAGGGAACCAACGCCACCGCUUCCUAGGGUUAGGCUCUGCCAUCGUCGCCGCCCAUCCGCCGUCGCCGCCGACCAUCUCUACUCUGCCGCCGCCACCGACCAUCUCUGCAGCUGCCACCGCCACCAACCGUACCUUUAUUUUUCCUCUCCCUCGCGUUCUUCAUUCAGUUCAUCCUCCGCCGCCGCCGGAUCCGGCCGUCACCACCUCCACCACGCGGAUCCGCCCUUUACCGCACACAUCUGGCCAUCACCGCCUCCCCCUCCAUGUCCAUGUCCCCCACCGCACGUCUUAGGGACAUGGAGGCCCAUCGCCCUUCCUAAUCGCGUGCAAAAGAAGCAGCCAGGUCGCCCCUCACACCUCGUCUUCCAGUUCCUCCUCACACCAAUCCAUGCCGUCGCCAGAGGAGCGACCGGUGGCCGGCAGAAGAAGCACAUCUUGCCGUGGCCAGUGGACCGGAUGGUGGCCGGCGGGAGUUGCUCGUUCUGCCGCAUGCUGCACAAUAGCUGGGAGGGCGUCUGGGCGAGAUCCACUCAUCCUGCUCCUCUCUGAUGCACUUUGAUGGACUGACUCGUCUCCGAUUCUUCACACAGGUAUGGUCGGGAGAUGCCUCAAGGGUGCAGAAUCGAUGUCGUCGUGCUCGCGCCGUGGAGCGUGGCCGGGUCGUCCUCCUUUCUCCGUCCGCGUCGUCGUCCUCGUGUCAAUACCAGGUCUCCCUCUCUCUCUUAGUUCAUUGUCGAUGUCCUUCUUCCUGCAGCUCACUCACAACAAGAAAACAAUGUUUGAUCCAGCUAGAGCAGGGUCGCAACCAUUGACGGAGCAGUGAGGCGGAGUUGCUGCUGCUGAAAAAUGGUCCUUAGUUAUGUUGUUCCAACAAAUUUUUAGUUGUACACAGCUCAGCUAAAGAAUGUAGACUCCCAGUCCGAAUGAAGUGCUAAAUUGCAUUGGUAAAACUAGUUGAUUCAUCCCAGUUAUAGUUGACACAACAUGUAAAAAAUACAAAAAAGACUGAAGGCCACUUGGUGUGUAUAAUAUAACUUGUACAUAGCUAUUUAUACUCUGUUGAUAUGCUGAAGUUCUUAUAUGCUCCUUUCUUCCGAGUUGUUAGCUUUGUUAUUUUAGUUGUGUAUGGCAUUUUUUUAGUUCAUGAAGCAUCAGGUUUCUUAUUUACAAAGGAAUUAUGCUCUGUUGUGAAGAAAAUUUUGCUAUCAGAUUCUGACAGGGAAGCAUGUUGUUGUGAAUUUCUUCUCCGUUAGCUUCAUGAAUAAUGUGUCCUUCCGUCGGCCCUUGAUGACAACAAGCAUGGACUCACUUGCAGCUGCCACAUAUACUGUUGCAUAUGACGGCAGGCUGCAGAUCAGGGUUAUGUGAGCUAAGCUCACAGCCUUCUCUGUUAAGUUCUUUUGCAAUGGUCCCAGUAUUAUUGAUCUAAAAAAUCUCCAGAUUUAAUCGAGGUAUAUCUCAGAUGAAAAAAUCGAGUAUAUAUGUUUAUUGCAAGUUUUACUUAGAUUAUGAAACCAUGAAUGUCUUAUGUUCUUCUAAGGAUCAGUUUUGGAAUAUUUCAGGCCAUACCAGGUGAUAGCCUUUCUUUUCAUAUGCAUAUAUUCUUACCUGUUUUUCGCGCAAGUGUUUCGGCAACUAAAGAAAAUUUUAAUAGAUGAUCUAACUAUUGCUGGAUACGUUUUUUUGGGAAAUUCCCGUUAUUUAUUGGCAAGAACCACAAUUGUUUGUUAAGCUAAGAAGUAGAACCUUAGCCAUUUAUAUAUAAGCUAUUUUUGUAGUGAGUUUUAUUUCAGAAGAGGCGAUUUUUGUACUCGUUUAUAAGAUAAUACUUUCAACUACCUCUUGGUACUAUAAAUUGCUAUCAAAAUCUUUACUGGUCUACUUCUCAUAAAUCCCAAGAUUAAGCUUACUUCUGUAAUUUACUUUUUUCCAGCCAUGCGUUUCAGUUGAUUAAGCUAGCAUUUCUACACUUGGUCACUUCUGGUGAAUUGGAUAUCUUGAGUUCUCAAGUAUGUAAUUAUGAUGAACAAGCCAUUAUCAUAUAUUCAUAUUGACACUAAAGUACAACAUUGGUUUCCCCUGGAAAAAAAGGUUCAUCAUUGGUUUAACUGCAAAGAGAUCAAGGUAUUGUGUAAGCAGGAUAUAUGGUGGUAAAGAUUGUGGUCAUCAGCCCUUGAUAUGGUCACUCUACUCUUAUGCCAUUAUCCAACCAUAUUUAAUACUUCUUAUCCUCGAUGCUUGUCUUGUGGUUCAUCACCAAGUUUUCAAUUUUAGUUAUGUAUCAAAUAGGUACUCUGAACUAACAAUGAUAUAUUUGAGCAGGGGAACAGAGAUGCUCUAGAAUGUGUCCGAGUUCGAGAAGCUGCCAAAGAUGGUGUACGACUACUACGCCUCUGGCGCAGAGUAUCAGUGGACACUCAUGGAGAACUGAGAGGCUUUCUCCAGAAUCCUAUUAGCUACGUAUACUCCAACCCUCGAAAGUAGCAGGUUUUAGUCUUUCAAUUCCAUUAUUCUCUGUUUUAUUUAGCAUCAGGAAAACAAAUGCAGUACAUAAGUUUCAGGGUUGAAGUUUUGCAAGGUUGACAUUCGUUUUGGGGUGUAGAAACAAGGUGUUGUUUAAAUUUUAGUUUUUAAAAGAAUUUUUGGAUAAAGCCAGAUGAUUUCUUCUGAAACUUUUACACUCCAAUGUUAUAACUAGAUGGAAGUCCUGAUAGGCUGGGCAUAAGUUAAAACGCACCUUGGAGCGUCUCUCUCCCCGUCCACAGUACGAGAGAGGAGACUUUUGGAACCUCGAGCUCGCACCACCUCCUCGCCGUCGAUCCAGUCGAUUUCUCGCCCUCCGGCGGCCGCUCCGGCGGUGGGAGGAUGGGGAAUCGCCGGAUCUGUGUAUAGGUGUUAUGUAGGUGUGAGUUUGGUGUCAGCCGGCGGCGCGGAGGAGGAGAUGGCGUCGCCGGCGGUGCUUUUGCAGGUGGAGGACUUCCUCUUCGGCGGCGGCGUUCGGUGCAGCUCCGCGGCUGAUCUUCCGCCGCGUCCAUGCUGGCUGCUCUGCGGUGCGGCCGUGUGUGGCUUCCCCUUCGCCGGAUGCUGCGGGAUGGCGGAUCUGGCGUCGACGGUUGUGCAGGAGGUUGGGGAGGUUCGGUUCGACGACGACGGCGUCCGCUGGUGUAGGUCCUCUGUGGCCGGCGCUCGGCGACUUCCCGUCCGCUCGGGGGAGCUCUCGAUCCAAGGCGUCAAGGAGAGCAGGAGCGGCGGCGCGCCACCGACGGCGCCAUGGACGACGACGUGGUCGGGUUGCAGUGAGGCUUGUAGGACUGCGACACAUUGGACGCUAGGCCUCUGAUGGCCGCAGUUUCUCGCCAACUUCGUGGGCUACUUCUAGCAUUGACGAGGUUGACUCUGUGGGAUUGGAUAUAUGUUUCUUCCAACUUUAUGUUUACAAGGACAAUAAUAUAGUGCGGCAACUUGUGAAAAAGGUUGAAGUGGCUGGGUUUAAGGAGAUCACGCUCACUAUCGACACUUUGAGGCUUGGUCAGAGGAAAGCUGAUAUCAAGAAUAGGUCCAACAUAUGUGAUUUCUAUAAUGCGCAGCGUUUAUUGUGAAUUUAUGAUAUGUUAUGUCCGGUUCGCCUUGCCUCCACAUCAGGUUUUGAAUAAUUUUGAGGGCCUGGAUCUUGGCAUUAUGGACAAGAUCUAUGACUUUGGGCUCGCUUCUUACAUUGAUGGCCGAGUGCGUAAGAAAAAAGAGAGGCAGGAGGAAGGCAAGAAGAGGAUUAGGAGGCUUUGUGGCUAACUGAUGUACUGUGCCAAGGCCAGUGCGUUGGCACACGAUGGGUUGUCUAGACGUUCUGGAGUAUUCAAAUUGGGACAAAAUAUACUCUCCUCCAUCCAUACAUGCACCGGAGAGCAGUAAGUACACAUAUCGAAUGGUGCAUAAAUUCUGGAGAUGUAUGUAGUCCUUAACACUGUAGUACUAAGAAUUAAUCAUCUUAUUUGACAUGAUUGUCGGUGUAGUAGGAAGUCAGCUUUAGAGGUCAAUGCCUUUGCGAGUACUCAACUGGCGCCAUGCUAUUUUGUAAUUGAGUAUGGGCAUAUUUGGAGUAGUCAUGUACUGCUAUUUUGUAAUUGAGUAUGGACAUAUUUGGAGCAUGUCCUUGUAAAAUAUGACUAUGAACAACAUGUGUUGUCCA